rnacentral:lncRNA from 1 species
AGGUAACAGGCCAAAGACAAUUGAAAGGUAAAGCAGAUGAAGGCAUAUUUAUCGGUACAGUUUUACUGAGAAUACUGGAAGUGAUAAGGAGUGUCUUGUGGAGUUGUGGAAUCUGUGAGAGCAGUUGUCUGAUCUGA